UACGAAGGGUGCAAGCGUUACUCGGAAUUACUGGGCGUAAAGGGUGCGUAGGUGGUUGUUUAAGUCUGCUGUGAAAUCCCCGGGCUCAACCUGGGAAUGGCAGUGGAUACUGGAUAGCUAGAGUGCGGUAGAGGGUAGUGGAAUUCCCGGUGUAGCGGUGAAAUGCGCAGAUAUCGGGAAGAACACCCGUGGCGAAGGCGGCACUCUGGGACGGUACUGACGCUGAGACGCGAAAGCGUGGGGAGCGAACAGG
rnacentral:rRNA from 1 species